rnacentral:rRNA from 1 species
UCCUACGGGAGGCAGCAGUGAGGAAUAUUGGACAAUGGAGGCAACUCUGAUCCAGCCAUGCCGCGUGCAGGAAGACGGCCCUAUGGGUUGUAAACUGCUUUUAUACAGGAAGAAUGGUACCUACGUGUAGGUAUUUGACGGUACUGUACGAAUAAGGAUCGGCUAACUCCGUGCCAGCAGCCGCGGUAAUACGGAGGAUCCAAGCGUUAUCCGGAAUCAUUGGGUUUAAAGGGUCCGUAGGCGGUCUGAUAAGUCAGAGGUGAAAUCCUGCAGCUCAACGGUAGCAUUGCCUUUGAUACUGUUAGACUUGAGUUAUUGUGAAGUAGUUAGAAUGUGUAGUGUAGCGGUGAAAUGCAUAGAUAUUACACAGAAUACCGAUUGCGAAGGCAGAUUACUAACAAUAAACUGACGCUGAGGGACGAAAGCGUGGGUAGCGAACAGGAUUAGAUACCCUGGUAGUCCACGCCGUAAACGAUGGAUACUAGCUGUUCGACCAACAUGGGUUGGUUGAGUGGCUAAGCGAAAGUGAUAAGUAUCCCACCUGGGGAGUACGCUCGCAAGAG